rnacentral:lncRNA from 1 species
GUGUGGCCCAUUAGAGGUCGAGAGGUGGCUAAUGGUCGUCGAUGUUGGUGACGGGAGAGAAUGAUCAUUGUGUGUGUGUGGCCCAUUAGGGGUCAGUAGGUGGAUGAUGGUCGCCGAUGUUGGUGACGAGAGUGAAUGAUAAUGGUGUGCGUGCGUGGCCUAGUAGGGAUCGAGAGGCGGAUGGUGGUCGUCGAUUUUGGUGGCGGGUGACAAUGUUGGUAUGCUUGGGGUGGCGUUGGGGGACGGUCACCCUUGAUUGGUAUGAUCGUUGAGAUACCG